GCCGUGUCCAGACUGAAACAAGAUCCGAGGGCAGAGAACUCAGUAUUUGAAUAACCCAAGGGUGCUUCUGGACUGGAUCAACGACGUGCUGGCAGAGGAGCGCAUCAUUGUGAAGCAGCUGGAGGAGGACCUGUACGAUGGCCAGGUGCUACAGAAACUUCUGGAAAAGCUGGCACACUGCAAGCUGAAUGUGGCAGAGGUGACGCAGUCUGAGAUCGGGCAGAAGCAGAAGUUGCAGACAGUUCUGGAAGCCGUGCAAGACCUGCUCCGGCCCCACGGCUGGCCGCUGCGUUGGAAUGUGGACUCUAUCCACGGGAAGAACCUGGUGUCCAUUCUGCACCUCCUCGUCUCCCUGGCCAUGCACUUCAGGGCCCCCAUCCACCUUCCUGAACACGUCACCGUGCAGGUGGUGGUCGUCCGGCUUUUUUCUCCCCU
rnacentral:lncRNA from 1 species